rnacentral:rRNA from 1 species
CCUACGGGGCGCAGCAGUGGGGGAUAUUGCACAAUGGGGGAAACCCUGAUGCAGCGACACCGCGUGUGGGAAGACGGUCCUCUGGAUUGUAAACCACUGUCCCCAGGGACGAAGAUGACGGUACCUGGGGAGGAAGCUCCGGCUAACUACGUGCCAGCAGCCGCGGUAAUACGUAGGGAGCGAGCGUUGUCCGGAAUUACUGGGUGUAAAGGGCGUGUAGGCGGGACUGCAAGUCAGAUGUGAAACCCAUGGGCUCAACCCAUGGCCUGCAUUUGAAACUGUAGUUCUUGAGUGAUGGAGAGGCA